rnacentral:rRNA from 1 species
ACUCAAAUGAAUAGACGGGGGCCCGCACAAGCGGUGGAGCAUGUGGUUUAAUUCGUCACUAACCGAAGAACCUUACCCAGGCUUGACAUCGCGUGUAAGACGGUGAAAGCCGUCCCCUCCGCAAGGAGCACAAAGACAGGUGUUGCAUGGCUGUCGUCAGCUCGUGUCGUGAGAUGUUGGGUUAAGUCCCGCAACGAGCGCAACCCUCACCGGAUGUUGCCAGCGUCGAGUCGGGCACUCUUCCGGAACUGCCCGUGCAAGCGGGAGGAAGGUGGGGAUGACGUCAAGUCGGCAUGGCCCUUACGCCUGGGGCUACACACAUGCUACAAUGGGCGCAGGACAGAGGGGUGCGAUGCCGCGAGGCGGAGCCGAUCCCACAAAGGCGCCCUCAGUUCGGAUUGCAGGCUGCAACUCGCCUGCAUGAAGCCGGAAUCGCUAGUAACCGCCGGUCAGCGAAACGGCGGUGAAUACGUUCCCGGGCCUUGCACACACCGCCCGU